GGAUGCGAUCAUACCAGCAUUAACGCAUCAGAUCCCAUCAGAACUUCGAAGUUAAGCGUGCUUGAGCGAGAGUAGUACUAGGAUGGGUGACCUUUUGGGAAGUCCUCAUGUUGCAUCCC
rfam:Nicotiana sylvestris Nsyl_contig33635, whole genome shotgun sequence.